GUGGAUUAGAUACCCUGGUAGUCCUAGCCCUAAACGAUGCUCAUUAGAUGUGGGAGGUAUCGACCCCUUCCGCGUCGCAGCUAACGCAUUAAAUGAGCCGCCUGGGGAGUACGGCCGCAAGGUUGAAACUCAAAGGAAUUGACGGGGGCCCGCACAAGCGGUGGAACAUGUGGUUUAAUUCGACGCAACGCGAAGAACCUUACCUGGGCUUGAACUACUCGUGGUAGGUCGCUGGAAACAGUGGCCGACCCGCAAGGGAGCGAGCAGAGGUGCUGCAUGUCUGUCGUCAGCU
rnacentral:rRNA from 1 species